rnacentral:rRNA from 1 species
AUUGAACGCUGGCGGCAUGCUUUACACAUGCAAGUCGAACGGCAGCGCGGGCUUCGGCCUGGCGGCGAGGGGCGAACGGGUGAGUAAUGCAUCGGAACGUGCCCACUAGUGGGGGAUAGCCCGGCGAAAGCCGGAUUAAUACCGCAUACGACCUGAGGGUGAAAGCGGGGGACCGAAAGACCUCGCGCGAUUUGAGCGGCCGAUGGCGGGGUAUCUAGUUGGUGGGGUAAAGGCUUACCAAGGCGGCGAUCCGUAGCUGGUCUGAGGGGCCGGCCAGCCACCCUGGGGGGGAGGAAGCGCCGACGCUCCUACGGGGGGCGGCAGUGGGGAAGUUUGGGCAAUGGGGGGCACCCUGGUGCAGCCGCGGCGCGUGGGGGGAGAAGGCCGUCGGGUUGUAAAGCGCUUUUGUUCGGGGAGAAAUCCUCUGGGCUAAUACGCCGGGGGGAUGACGGUACCGGGAGAAGAAGCACCGGCUAACUACGUG